rnacentral:lncRNA from 1 species
CUGGGCGAUAGGGUGAAAGUAAACAAUGGUGGCUACUUUGUAUUGUGAGCGUGACUUUUUUUGUUUUUUGUUUUUGUUUUUUUUUUAUACCAGCAAAGCGGCAAGUCACGUACGGUUAAGGCUCACUGUCUGCCCAACUUGCCCGCCGGAGUCCUCUAAUGCUUGCGUCACGCAGAAGAUCAUCCGAAAUCUUUUUUUUUUUUCCCGCAUAUUUUGUUGC